CCCUCAGAAUGGUUGGAAAUCAUUCAUAGAGUGUAAAGGCAUAAGGGAGCUUGACUGCGAGACCUACAAGUCGAGCAGGGUCGAAAGACGGACUUAGUGAUCCGGUGGUUCCGCAUGGAAGGGCCAUCGCUCAACGGAUAAAAGCUACCCCGGGGAUAACAGGCUUAUCUCCCCCAAGAGUUCACAUCGACGGGGAGGUUUGGCACCUCGAUGUCGGCUCAUCGCAUCCUGGGGCUGUAGUCGGUCCCAAGGGUUGGGCUGUUCGCCCAUUAAAGCGGUACGCGAGCUGGGUUCAGAACGUCGUGAGACAGUUCGGUCCCUAUCCGUCGUGGGCGUAGGAAAUUUGAGAGGAGCUGUCCUUAGUACGAGAGGACCGGGAUGGACAUACCUCUGGUGUACCAGUUGUCGUGCCAACGGCAUAGCUGGGUAGCUAUGUGUGGACGGGAUAAGUGCUGAAAGCAUCUAAGCAUGAAGCC
rnacentral:rRNA from 1 species